rnacentral:rRNA from 1 species
GACGAACGCUGGCGGCGUGCUUAACACAUGCAAGUCGAACGGUAAGGCCCUUCUUUUGUUGGGUGCUCGAGUGGCGAACGGAUGAGUAACGCGUGAGUAACCUGCCCUGGACUUUUGGAUAACUUCAGGAAACUGGGGCUAAUACCGGAUAGGAGCUCCUGCUGCUUGGUGGGGGUUGGAAAGUGUCGGCGGUUGGGGAUGGGCUGGCGGCUUAUCAGCUUGUUGGUGGGGUAGUGGCUUACCAAGGCUUUGACGGGUGGCCGGCCUGAGAGGGUGACAGGCCACAUUGGGACUGAGAUACGGCGCAGAAUCCUACGGGAGGCAGCAGUGGGGAAUAUUGCAAAAUGGGCGGGAGGCUGAUGCAGCAACGCCGCGUGCGGGAUGACGGCCUUCGGGUUGUAAACCGCUUUCGCCUGUGACGAAGCGUGAGUGACGGUAAUGGGUAAAGAAGCACCGGCUAACUACGUG